rnacentral:rRNA from 1 species
UACAGAGGGUGCAAGCGUUGUUCGGAAUUAUUGGGCGUAAAGCGCGUGUAGGCGGUCUUGCAAGUCGGGUGUGAAAGCCCUCAGCUCAACUGAGGAAGUGCGCCCGAAACUGCAGGGCUAGAGUACUGGAGAGGUUGGUGGAAUUCUCGGUGUAGAGGUGAAAUUCGUAGAUAUCGAGAGGAACACCGGUGGCGAAGGCGGCCAACUGGACAGAUACUGACGCUGAGACUCGAAAGCGUGGGGAGCAAACAGG